GCCUUCUUGGCUUAAGGGCAGAGCGUUCGCUUAGUUAACGAAAGGUUGCCGGACCGAUUCCGGCAGAAGGCU
rfam:Gregarina niphandrodes unplaced genomic scaffold scaffold00085, whole genome shotgun sequence.